rnacentral:rRNA from 1 species
AUGAGGAUGAAAUACCUCUUGCGCGCCAAUGGCGUGUGGGGCGCCGUUGAUCAUGGGGCCUCAUCGGAGGUCGACAAGGACAAGGAGGAGAUGGCCAUGACGAUCAUCUCCCAGUCCAUCGACGACACGACGCUGCUGCGAGUUGCGGAGAAGGAGACCGCAGCCGAUGUGUGGGCGGCGCUACGCUCCAUGCAUGUGGGCGUCGAGCGCGUCCGAGAGGCGAGGGUUCAAUCCUUGCGCUCGGAAUUUGAUGGCCUCAAGAUGAGUGAUGUGGAGUCCGUGGAUGAUUUCGCGGCGAGGUUCACGACGCUCGUGGGGCGCAUUCGUGAGCUUGGUAAUGCGAUGGAGGAGAAGUACGUCGUGAAGAAGCUGCUCUGA